UCUCAGAUGGUCCAGUGGCUAAGAUUUCCGCCUGUCAUUGGCCAAUCACAAUUGGCUAGCUCGCGGACGACCGGGGUUCGAUUCCCCGUCUGAGAG